CUCCAUGAAUCAUCUCCAUGGCAAUUUAACAACUAUCUACACAAAAUGAGCACCUUUAUAAUAACCAAAAAUCAGAGUGAUUCCCAUUGCUCUGAAAGAUGAGACCCAUGCCAAGCAGCAUUCACGACGAAAGCUGACUUAAGAGACAUCAGGACUGAAGGAAACAUUGGUGGUACUCUGGUAGUAAUCCCUGUGGGCCUGGUGACAGAGGCCAUGAGCUUUUUUGCCUUGGGAAGUGGUGUUUACCUUGUAAGAAGACUGAAGGAAACUCAAGGGAAACCCAUUUUCAUAAAAACAUGGGAAAUUAAUGAAGAUCAGAUAUUUUUGCUCAAAGAUAAGAAAUGUACAUGCAAACAUAUGUGUAUACUCACAGAAUAUGCCUAUUGUUUAGAAGCAAAUAUAUGAGAGUUGGGAGAAUAAAACAAGUUGCUAUGUUUUUUCAUGGAAGAAACAAUAGUUGUUAAAAUACUCUGAUGUUUCUAACCCAAAUGAUACCA
rnacentral:lncRNA from 10 species